rnacentral:rRNA from 1 species
CUACGGGGGGCUCCAGUUAAGAAUCUUCCGCAAUGGACGAAAGUCUGACGGAGCGACGCCGCGUGGGUGAAGGAGGCCGAGAGGUUGUAAAGCCCUUUUCUGCUUGAGGAAUAAGCCUGGUAGGGAAUGACCGGGUGAUGACGGUAGGGCAGGAAUAAGCCCCGGCUAAUUACGUGCCAGCAGCCGCGGUAACACGUAUGGGGCGAGCGUUGUUCGGAAUCAUUGGGCGUAAAGGGCGUGUAGGCGGAAAUGCAAGUCUGGUGUGAAAGACCGCAGCUCAACUGCGGGGACGCGCUGGAACUGCAAGUCUUGAGUUCCGGAGGGGGAGUUGGAAUUCCUGGUGUAGGGGUGAAAUCUGUUGAUAUCAGGAAGAACAUCGGUGGCGAAGGCGAACUCCUGGACGAGAGCUGACGCUGAGGCGCGAAAGCGUGGGGAGCGAACAGGAUUAGAUACCCUAGUAGUC